rnacentral:rRNA from 1 species
UACGUAGGUGGCAAGCGUUGUCCGGAAUUAUUGGGCGUAAAGAGCUCGUAGGCGGUCUGUCGCGUCGGAUGUGAAAGCCCGGGGCUUAACCCCGGGUCUGCAUUCGAUACGGGCAGACUAGAGUGUGGUAGGGGAGACUGGAAUUCCUGGUGUAGCGGUGAAAUGCGCAGAUAUCAGGAGGAACACCGAUGGCGAAGGCAGGUCUCUGGGCCACUACUGACGCUGAGAAGCGAAAGCAUGGGGAGCGAACAGG